rnacentral:tRNA from 1 species
GGAGGUGUAGCUUAGUGGUAGAGCUUGUGCUUAGUAUGCACCAGGCUGUGGAUUCGAUCCUCAGCAUCAUCU